UGUCAUGACAUCGGGUAUGACAUCCUGAAACAAUCCUGCAUAAUUAUAUUUUAAACCUCCAGCAGGUACAAGAUAUCUCAAGUUAAGACAUCACAUGUAACAUCUUGUGAACACUCUUUGUUUUACCAAAAUUGCUGCCAACACUUAGAACCAACAAAAAGUAAGGUGGGUGUGGAAAAAGAUUAAGAAAAAUGACCAUCAAAAAAAAGAAAACAAAAAAAAAUUAUUCGAUGG
rnacentral:lncRNA from 1 species